GAGAGAUUUAUCUGAAGAGGAGAGAGAAUGUUUUCCCUAAAGCUCUUUGUGUUGUUGGCAGCUGUACACAGUGUUUACUCACAGGUUGUGCUCACACAGUCUGAACAGUCAGUAGUUGUGUCUCCAGGUGCUUCCUACAAACUGACCUGUGCCUGCAGUGGGUUUACUGUUAGUAGCUAUCGCAUGCACUGGAUCCGUCAGGCACCUGGAAAAGGACUGGAAUGGAUCUUACACUAUUAUACAGACUCUGACAAAGGCUCAGCUCAGUCAGUUCAAGGCAGAUUCACAGCAUCCACAGACAGCUCUAAUCUCUAUCUGCACAUGAGUCAGUUAAAGACUGAAGACACUGCAGUGUAUUACUGUGCAAGAGAUUCACAUUGCUUGUUUUCAUGCAGCUACCCUUACAAAAACCCAGAAGGGGGAGAAAUGGAGAUGAUGAGUGUUUAAAAAAAUAUGUUGAUUUGUUUGUGAAGUGGUUCAUUCAUUUACACAUUUAUUUUUAAAUCACUCUUUCUUAUCUUUAAAUGUGUAUAAAUUUAUAAAGCCAGGUUAAAAGGGGCAACAUAUCAGCAGUUGUGUUACUGAUUGAGUUCUAAUGAGUACAAAUAAUGUCUAUAAGACACAUUCAAAGCAGUUCAUUUCAUAUUAAAGAUAUAAUUCACCCCAAAAUGACCAUAAAGCAAACCACCAUCUCUUUCCAAACCUAUAUGUUGUCCUUUCUUAGAAAACAAAAUGUGAAGUCACAAUAACAUUAAUAUUACUUUGUACAUUUAAUGUAAUUUAUUUAAUACUUUUGGAGUAUGAAACAGACCUCUUUCAGUUUUUUUAAAAGGCCAGCCACAAUUUUCACAUUUUCCGCUACCACAAAAGUCUACCACAUACAAAAAAAAAAAAAAAAAAAAAAUGAUUGAG